GACGAACGCUGGCGGCGUGCUUAACACAUGCAAGUCGAACGGAGAGGCCCUGCUUUUGUGGGGUGCUCGAGUGGCGAACGGGUGAGUAACACGUGAGUAACCUGCCCUUGACUUUGGGAUAACUUCAGGAAACUGGGGCUAAUACCGGAUAGGAGCUCCUGCUGCAUGGUGGGGGUUGGAAAGUUUCGGCGGUUGGGGAUGGACUCGCGGCUUAUCAGCUUGUUGGUGGGGUAGUGGCUUACCAAGGCUUUGACGGGUAGCCGGCCUGGGAGGGUGACCGGCCACAUUGGGACUGAGAUACGGACCAGACUCCUACGGGAGGCAGCAGUGGGGAAUAUUGCCCAAUGGGCGGAAGCCUGAUGCAGCAACGCCGCGUGCGGGAUGACGGCCUUCGGGUUGUAAACCGCUUUCGCCUGUGACGAAGCGUGAGUGACGGUAAUGGGUAAAGAAGCACCGGCUAACUACGUG
rnacentral:rRNA from 1 species